GGGCAUGUAGUGUAGGGGUUAUCGCGCCUCAUUCGCAUUGAGGAGGCCCUGAGUUCGAUUCUCAGCUUGUCCA
rnacentral:tRNA from 1 species